UUUUAUGAAAAUUUGGCAUUGGAAAUUCCUGUUGAACCUUAGGAAUAAAUUAGGAUACAAAGGGCAUGUCAUUAAAGUUACAUUGAUUUGGCUUCGGGCCAUGAUAUUGGCACUUAGUGUGCGAGAUUCCCGAGUAUCCAAUUUCUAUUCCAAAUAGUUCAACGGGUAUAUCGAAAAUAUGAAUGAGUAAUUUAGCCUUGACAGAUUUGAGUUACUGCAGUAGUGUAACUUUGAAAAUACACUAAAAAUAGUGGAAAUUGAGUUAGAGGCAGAAUAAAAUAUGGGAUUAAAGCUUAAUGAGUCUAUAUUCACAUGAAAGAAACAGAAGAAGAAAAAGAAUUCCAUAUUGUGUGAUAUUUGAAUUCUUGUGAAACAGGGUCUUAAUGAAUUCGAGAUCCCCUAUUCUGACUUUAGAAAUUCACCAAAACUUUUACAAAAAUUAUUAAGAGUCAUACCUUACAUGCAUGGAUUCCUUAUUGAGUCUAUUUUUAGGGGAAAUAAACGGCAUGGUCGUUGGAAUUCUGUACAGGAAUAAAUUCGGUUCGUAGUGCACAGGGGUCAUAGUGGUCAUACCCUGAAACAGGGGAGGCUUUAACUAAUAAACUAUACUAAUUGGCCCAACCAAAAAUUAUAGAAAACAAUUAAUAAGUAUAAAUAUGAGUCUAGUUUCAAGAGAAAUAGACGAAAACAUUAUUCGAGUCUUGUACUAUGAGAUAAUUGAACUUUAGUACAGAAGGGUCGGAACUGUCAGACAAUGAAUCAAGGGUAACUUUGAGGAAUAAACUGUACUAUUUGGCUUAACCAAAAAUUCUGGAAAUUUUAUGGAAGAAAGGAAAAUAAGUCUAGUUUCAUGGAAAAUUAACGGAAAUUAAUUCGGAGUUUCGUAGCUCCAGAUAUAAAUAAUUUAGUGACUAUGAUUCAGGAAAACAGCCUUAGCUGAUCUUGUGUAAAAAGAUGAAAUCAUGUGAUUAAUGAUUCUAUUUUUUUGAGCAUAUUUAUUAAGGAAUGGGAUAAUAUUGUUAAUUAAAUUGCUUAUUAUUAUUAAUAUUCCAACUUACUAAGCUUUUAAGCUUACACCAUUUUCCCAUUUCUCUUAGUGUUGUCAGGUUGGCUCGGGGUUGGAGAUCGUCGGAAGUAUCAUCACACUAUUAGUUUAUCAAAUUAGAAUAAUGAUAAUUCUUAUUUAUUGUCAAAUAAGUGGCAUGUAUAGAUAAUAAGUUAUUGAUAUUAGGUAAUAUUAUGAUUUAGCCAAAUGUAUAGGCUCAUUUUGCUUCAUUGUAUAUAGCCAUAAGAUUUGGCUCAUAAUGGUUAAAGUUAUGUAAACCUAUUUUAUGUAUGCAUAGAUAAAUAUCUUGGUGUGGCUAAGUUAAGAACACAAAAAGGGCUUGGAAAAUAGCAUAUGAUACACAUGGGCUUGAGACACGGCCGUGUGUCUCAACAGUGUGAAGAACACGGCCACCACACAGGUGUAUGGUCUAGCCGUGUAAGCAAGUCAGUAGCUAGCUAAUUUUUACACGGGGUCUAGACACGGGCGUGUGACCCUGCUUUGGUAAAAAAAAAUUACUAAGUGUCUGAAAGAUUUCGGUUUGUUUCCAAACCAAUUUCAAUGAUUGUUUUGGGCCUCGUAGGCCCUUAUAAGGGACAAAUUAUAUAUGUUUGAAAAGUUUAAAAUUUGAUGAAAUUUUAUGUCUUAGUUUUAAAUGAUUACAAGUACUUAAGUCCAGUAAUACCUCGUACCCUGUUCCGGCAUCAGAUACGAGUAAGGGGUGUUACAUUUAGUGGUAUCAGAGCCAGGUUUAGUUUAGUCGAUUCUCGGACUAACAUAGCAAGUGUGAGAGUCUAGUUAUACAUGCCACAAAUAUGUGAUAGUGUUAUGUCUCCUGACGCUAAUGAGGACCAUUUUGUUUAAAAUGAAGUAUUCUCCAACCGAGCUGCAUCUGAUCAUUUGAUAGCGAUAUUAAAGUAUUUGAAUAAAGUGUAGCUAUGAUGUGUUAAACUCGAAAAGGUAUGAAUAAGAGUUAGUGAUAUAUGUAUAUGUGAUAAUAUGUGAGAUGGAAGUUUAUAUAGUGAUAUAUUAAUUCAUAUUUGUUUAGCCUUCAUAUGUUGUUGCAUGCUUGACUAAAUUGAUUAGUAAAUGUGAUUACUAAAGUUAUUCAAAAUUCAUAGAAUGUAUGAGUGAGUGCACUUGUUUGAAAUGAGAUAAUUGGGAAUUUUGUGUAAGACAGAUAUGAAUAAUAAAUUGUUUGAAGUGGAUAGUAUAAUUAUAAUGACAUAUGUGGAUAAUGAAAAAUGUGUCAUAUAGAUAUAUGUGAGAAUCGAGUUAAAGGCUGUACGACAUCACCCCCUUACUGAUGAGGUGGUUAUAACGAAAAUUCACGAGAAUCAUGUUGAUUAAGUUCCUAAGUGUGGAAUCAAAGAGUUCAGUGAUAAAUUAAUUAUAGAUAUGACCAGAGGCUGAGAAUGGUUGACAAGUGAAUGACAGAGUUAGAGAAAUAUCAGAGUUGACUGAGUUAUCUUGGGAUUCAAAUUGAUGACCGAGUGUUUCUGGAAGUAUCGCCUUGAAAACAAUUAGUUAGUGAUGCUGGAAAUUAUGAGAAAGAUACUAAACCUCACUCCGGUAAGAUUUUCGAGGACGAAAAUCUCCAAAGGGGGGAGAGUUGUAACAGCCCAAAAUUAGGUCUAGUCGGAAUAGUGGUUUCGGGACCACAAACCCGACGAGAAAAAAAUUUUAUUUUUAUUAUAUUUUUAUAGUCUAUAAAUUUAUGAAAAUAUUUUGUAAAAAUUUCAUUCGAAAAUUUUGACGUUUGGGCACUUAAUUUAGUCAAAAGGACUAAAUUGUAAAAAGUGCAAAAGUUGAGUUCUUUAUAUAUGAGGUGCCUAAUUGUUAUGAGUUUUAAAUUGAAAGUCCUUAUGUGAUAAUUAUUCCUUUAAUAAGUUAGUGAAUGGAUAUUUUUUUGGUAUUUUUGAAAUUUGGUUGAAAUAAAAAGGGUAAUUUUGUAAAUUAAUUAAAAUAACCUAAUAAGACAAAAAUGAUAAAAGCUAUCAUUUUUUUUUUCCAUUCUUUCUUCUUCAACCGUGGGAAAGAACCGAAAAUGGCAGCCAUGGAUGAGCUCCAUUCGGCCAAGCUUCUAUGGCUUAAAUAGGUACGGUUUUUGUCCCGUUUUUAAAGAUUUUCGUAUUUUUAAGAUCCUCGAAGCUUAAAUUUUCUAUUUCUACCAAUUGAUUGAAGAGAAAUUAGAGUUUAAAAAUUUACCCAUUCAUGAUAUGGUUGUGUUUUGAUGAUUUAUAGUGGAUAAUGAAUGUUUGAUGUGUUAAAUAUGAGUUUUAUUCAAUGAAUUUCGGUAAAAAUGUCAAAAAGGGGUUAAAUUGUAAAAGUUAUAAAUUGGUCAUAAGUGUGUGAAUUAGUGAAAAUUUGCAGUUGCCAUAGAAGAGAAAAAUGUUCAGCAUGUCUUAAACCUUAUAGAAAUUGAAUAAAAAAUUAUUUUACGAGCCUAGGGGUAAAAGUGUAAUUUUUGAAAAGUUAGGGGCAUAAUUGUAAAUUUUCCAAAUUUUGAUAUAUGAAUUGAAUUGGUUAGUGUGUUGAUAAAAUGUGUUAAAUAAGUGUUAUUUGACAUGUUAGAUCAAGAAAACUUGAAAUUUUGGAUUAAGAUCAGAGAAGAACAAAGUUGUGUGCUAAGUUAGGAAAGUUAGCCGUUUCGGCAUCUGAGGUAAGUUGGUAUGAUAAUAAUACUGCAAUAAUGUUAUUGCCUUGAUAUUAAACGAGAUGUAAGUUCAUAUGUAAGUAAUACAUCAAUUUUACUUGUAUUAUGAUAUUUUAUAAUAAUAUUGUAAAUAUGUUUGUUGAUAAUUACUUGAUUGGUGAAAUUGUUGGAAAAGAGAGAGAAAUCCCGGUUGAACCUUCAGAAAGAUUGAAUGAUACAGAUGGUACGUAGCUAGGUCAUAUGUAUGGUGUUAACUGCACAUCAUGUGUACAAGAAAGCUACGAGACAUUAUAAUGUAGCUAGGUCGCAUGGGUGAUACUAUGUGUACACCAUGUAGACAAGAGAGCUACGAGAUAUAUGUAGCUAGGUCGCAUGCGUGGUUCCAGGUGAAGGACACCAUGUAGACAAGAGAGCUACGAGAUAAACUGGCUAGGUCACAUGGGUGGUACUAAGUGUUCACCAUGUGUACAAGCGAGCCGAACUAUAUGAUGGGUGGAGCUAUGUGCUGAAACCACCAAGUAUCGAGUAUUGAUCCGAAGUGUUCAACAGGAGACUUACUAUGUACUGCUUUGUGAGUUUUGUGAGGAAUAAGUGCAGGAACUUAGUUAUGUGAAUGAUGUGUUCAUUAAGUGACUGGGAUGUGGCAAGGUUAUAAACAAGUAAGUUCGUACAUAUUAAGUAUUAUUAUAUUGAGCAUUUGAUGCGUUGGAAUCAUAUAAAUGGAAUAUUUAUGAGUAUUUUAAUGAUUAAUGAUUUAUCGACCAAACGAACGGCACUUAGUGUGCGAAGUAUUGAGGAUGGCACUUAGUGUGCAAGACAUCCGAAAUGACACAGUGUAUGAAGUAUUGAUGAUGACACCUAGUGUGCGAAACAUCCGGUAUAGCACUUAGCGUGCAAGACAUCGAUUGUGCAGCGACAUUUCGUGUAAGUAUGAUUUUGUUAUGGAUCGGUACAGGUAUGUACAUGUAUGUAUGAGCUUGUUAAUAAGCAUUAUUAUAAUUGAGAUUUAAUGCUGUAUAAUUGAAUUGUUGAUGAUUAUGAUUGUACGGAAGUAUUUUAUGAAAAUUUGGCAUUGGAAAUUCCUGUUGAACCUUAGGAAUAAAUUAGGAUACAAAGGGCAUGUCAUUAAAGUUACAUUGAUUUGGCUUCGGGCCAUGAUAUUGGCACUUAGUGUGCGAGAUUCCCGAGUAUCCAAUUUCUAUUCCAAAUAGUUCAACGGGUAUAUCGAAAAUAUGAAUGAGUAAUUUAGCCUCGACAGAUUUGAGUUACUGCAGUAGUGUAACUUUGAAAAUACACUAAAAAUAGUGGAAAUUGAGUUAGAGGCAGAAUAAAAUAUGGGAUUAAAGCUUAACGAGUCUAUAUUCACAUGAAAGAAACAGAAGAAGAAAAAGAAUUCCAUAUUGUGUGAUAUUUGAAUUCUUGUGAAAUAGGGUCUGAAUGAAUUCGAGAUCCCCUAUUCUGACUUUAGAAAUUCACCAAAAAUUG
rnacentral:lncRNA from 1 species